rnacentral:rRNA from 1 species
ACUCCUACGGGAGGCAGCAGUAGGGAAUCUUCCACAAUGGGCGCAAGCCUGAUGGAGCAACACCGCGUGAGUGAAGAAGGGUUUCGGCUCGUAAAGCUCUGUUGUUAAAGAAGAACACGUAUGAGAGUAACUGUUCAUACGUUGACGGUAUUUAACCAGAAAGUCACGGCUAACUACGUGCCAGCAGCCGCGGUAAUACGUAGGUGGCAAGCGUUAUCCGGAUUUAUUGGGCGUAAAGAGAGUGCAGGCGGUUUUCUAAGUCUGAUGUGAAAGCCUUCGGCUUAACCGGAGAAGUGCAUCGGAAACUGGAUAACUUGAGUGCAGAAGAGGGUAUGGAACUCCAUGUGUAGCGGUGGAAUGCGUAGAUAUAUGGAAGAACACCAGUGGCGAAGGCGGCUACCUGGUCUGCAACUGACGCUGAGACUCGAAAGCAUGGGUAGCGAACAGGAUUAGAUACCCUGGUAGGAUAGCG